CGGGACUGAUGCUAGCAAGGUUAUUAGGAUUAAGUAACCUAAUGAAUCGUAUGGCCAUUAGCGGGCUUUGAAAGAAGAAGGAGCCUGUCAUUUUAUCCCGGGGUUUCUCGGAAACGCUGAGCGAGCCAGACGCUGCGGCGGCUCCCGCCCUGCUCGGCGCUGCAGCAGCCGCC